GGGCUAGCGUUGUUCGGAAUUACUGGGCGUAAAGCGCACGUAGGCGGCCUUUCAAGUCAGAUGUGAAAGCCCCGGGCUUAACCCGGGAAUUGCAUUUGAUACUGUUAGGCUUGAGACCGGGAGAGGAUAGCGGAAUUCCCAGUGUAGAGGUGAAAUUCGUAGAUAUUGGGAAGAACACCAGUGGCGAAGGCGGCUAUCUGGACCGGUACUGACGCUGAGGUGCGAAAGCGUGGGGAGCAAACAGG
rnacentral:rRNA from 1 species